rnacentral:rRNA from 1 species
CGCGCAGGCGGUUUUGUAAGUCAGAUGUGAAAGCCCUGGGCUCAACCCGGGAAGUGCAUCUGAUACUGCAAGACUUGAGUAUGGGAGAGGGAAGUGGAAUUCCUGGUGUAGAGGUGAAAUUCGUAGAUAUCAGGAGGAACAUCGGUGGCGAAGGCGACUUCCUGGACCAAUACUGACGCUGAGGCGCGAAGGCGUGGGGAGCAAACA